ACCCGUCAAACUCUCAGUAGCUCAGGGGUCCACGCCUGUCACAUUUCCACUGCAGCAUCAGCAGCACAACGCGGGACACAUUACAGGUCCGGGGCCAAUACUUUCUGCCCACCUGCAGGAUGGCAAAGGCCGGCUUAUGGGUCCUGAUGCUGGCUGGAGGGGCAAGCCAGGACCAAGGGUCAGUUGCUUCUGGAGCCCGCAGCCUGCGGCGGGCCCUCCGGCCACCGGGCGCGGUCUGCCGGGGCUACCGCGGGCCUUGGGCGGGGCAAGGGCCGGGGCGGGGCUGGGGCCGGAGGCAACAAGUCGUCACCGGGUACUCUGGGCUCCCGCCCGGUCCGCAGCCUCAGCCAACCUUCCCCGUUUCCGUAUCCCGGUCCCUGCCUGGGCGGUCGUCCAGUCCAUCCGGAACGACACCCAGACUUGGCGUGUUUUGCUCCUGGAAUAGUAGAAAAAUGGUUCAGCUCUGCAGCCUUCUCGGAUAUUGCCGUGCAAAUGUGCCCUUCAGCUUGCUCAGACUUCAGCUAAGGUUCUGAAGCUGUUUUCCCUCUGACUGCAUCACACGAGCCUAGAACUCCAAAUCUCCACACUGAGACUUCUUCUGUGCCAGUUUUUGCUUCAGCUCCCCAACCACUCACUCGGCAAGAAUAAUUUUCCACUGUCAAACUUAAUCUCCGCUGUGGCCUAAAAGGGGAUGAUAUGGAGUUUCCAGGGGGAAAGUAGUCAGCAGAAAGAGUGCCAGAACAAUGGGGAAGGAAAUAAGGAAGAGGAACUGGGAUUUUCAAGGCAGUUUUCAAAGAGGAGGAGGAUGGAGGAAGAAAUAAAAGAAGAAGACUGUACAGCAAGUGCCCCAUCCUGCCUCGUGUGUCUGCUUUAGGACCAUGUAGACCCGCAUGAGAAGGAGGAAGCCACCUUGUAAGCAGCCACCAUCCUGUUGUCUAGACAGCAAGGAAGAGAUGUGAUCUCAGGGAAGCUGCAGAGGCUGCAGGCUGCACUCGGAUAUCCUGUCAGAGGUGAGGCUUGUGUUUGCAUAAAUAGUAGGAUCCUCCAGCAGAAUCCACUGUAACGUAGUUUGCUGUAGAGCAGAACUCAGCAGUGAGUUCAUCCUUAACCCCUUCCUAGAGGAUAAGUCGCCUAGCAACAGGAAAAUCAACAUGGCUAAUGUGGUAUUGCUGUGUCAGUGUCAGGGUAACAACCUUUCAGUCUCAAAAAUAUUAAUGCCAGUCACGCCCCUGCCCACAUGCAUAUAAAUACCUUAUGACUAACAGCUCACAUUUGCAGGACAUUGUCCAGAAUCGGGAAAAUGUGUGGCCUUGUAAUGGAGAUGUUACCUUGAGUGAAACCCAUGUCCUUGACCCGAUUAGUCCAGGGUGAUGAAUCAGCUGAGCUAAGUGCCCAUGGCACUCACGGAACAACACCGAUUCAAGCAGAACCCAGCACUGCUAGACAUUGUUAGGUCACCUGGAGGGUUCUAUCCCCAUGAUGGAUUUUUAUACUGUAACUGACUAGUAAGUUAUGUGCUCUGGAAGUGUGGUUUCAAUCAAAUAUAUAUGAAUUAUUUUUUUGAAGUACUGUAGCAGUAAUGUCAUGAGUUGGGUACCUCAGGAAAUAGUUUCUGAAACUCAAUUUUGCAGAUCCAAGGUUUCUUGGUGAGAGCUCCUGGGAACAAGAGCUGUGAGGAAUAAGAGAAGUGGAAUCGGUCAGGGGAAGAAAUGGAGACAAUGGGUCCAGUUCUUCACCCUCACCCCCACCCCAUCUGCAGUUGUUGCCUGGCUUUGAGCCCCCCACAGCCCAUACUCCCAGCAGCAAGGAAACAAGUGUGUUGGGCCCACAGCGAGGCCUGGAUGGUGGUACUGCAGAUAGUCUGCUACAAUUGCUCGCUAGGACUUGGACUUCUGAUGAGUCUCCAAAUUUUGAUUGCAUUUUAUCUAUUGGACACCUCUGGAGGGAGACAGAGCUGGGUAGGGAUCAUUCUCCCCGGGGACUACUCCCCUGUGGGACUACACAGGGAAAUGGAAGUCCAGACAAUGUCAAGGACUUGCACAGGAGGGAUCUCUCAAUCGUUUGCAUUUUUUCUUACAUCUAGAGUUUAAGAACUGGAAAAAAUACUGGAAGCCAAAUAGUCCAGCCACCUCACUUUAAAAGUAAAAAACCUGGGGUCAGCACUGUGGUGUAGCUGCUAUGCAGUGCCAGCACCUGCUAUGGGCACCUGUUUGAGUCCUGGCUAUUCCACUUCCAAUCCAGGUCCCUCCUAAUGUGUCUGGGAAAGCAGCAGAAGAUGGCAUAAGUGCUGGGCCCCUGCUACCCACAUUGGAGACCCAGAAGAAGCUCAUGGCUUCUGGUUUCACCUUGACCCAAACCUGUAGGUCUCUCCCUCUCUCACUAUGCCUUUCAAAUCAACAAAUGUAUUUUGAUUUUUUAAGUGUUGAAUCUGUGGGGAUUUUUAAAAAAUAAGGAAUGAGGUUUGGAGAAAGGGGAUGUUAGGAUCUGUGGUAGAACCCAACUUUCUCCACCCAAAACAAGAUUUUUUUUAAUUAAAAAAUUACUUAUUUAUUUGAGUGAUACAGAGACAGAGAUCUUCCAUCUUCAAAUGCCCACAAGAGACAAGAGAGCCAGACUGAAGCCAGGAGAACUCUCCAUCCAGAUCCAUUCGGUAGCAGGGACCCAAAUAUUGAGCCAUCCUCAUCUGCUGCUUCCCAUAGCAGGAAGCUGGAGCUAGGAACCAGAUUCAGGAAUCGAACCCAGGCACUCUGUAUGGUAUAUGGGCAUCCCGAGUGGCAUCUUAACUGCUGUGCCAAGCAUCUGCCCCCCCCAAGCCAGUUUUCAUUACCUAGGAUGUGCUGGGCAUUGUGUGCCACACAGGAGCUAAAGACAUUAGAAGGUGACACAUCUUGCCUAGAGGAAUUUAUAAACUAGUAGAUUUUCUCAGUCUUUCUUUAAUGGCUUUUUUCUUUUCAGAAAAAUAUUGCCUUUUAAUUUAGAUUAAUAGCAUUAUUAUGCCUGUCAUCUUAUAGGAGGAAAAUUUUUUAUGGCCAUACAUCUAAAAUAAAAUAACAGAAUGAUGUGUAGUUAUGCUUCCUUAGAACUGCCUUUCAUUUAAAUAUUUGGCAGGUGAAUAGGCUCUGGAGUGAAAACAUCUUUUGUUAUUUUUUUAGAAAGCUUUUAUUUAAUAAAUAUAAAUUUCAUGGGAAUGGCUUUUGGUCUUUAAUAACAUCUUUAAAAAAGAUUUAUUUAUUUGAAAGGCACAAUUACACAGACAGAUCUUCCAGCCACUGGUCUACUCACCAAAUGGCCUCAAUGGCAGGGGCUGGGGCAUGCUGAAGUCAGGAGCUUAGAACUUCAUCCGGGUCUCCCAUUUGUGUGCAGCAGCCCAAUCACUUGGGACAUUUUCUACUGCUUCCUCAGGUGCAUUAGCAGAGAGCUGGAUUGGAAGUGGAGCAGCCAGGGCUCAAACCAGCAGCCUUAUAGGAUGCUGGAGUCACAGGCAGUGGCUUAACCUGCUGCACCAUAACAACCCUACUUUAAUAGUCUUGAUAAGGCAGGGAGAAUGAAACCUUUUAUUCUAGGCUUUCCUCUCUCAUAUCAUUUUGUGAAAUCUAAACCAGAAAAAAACAGUAGCAUAUAUGCUGAAGAGUGAAUAAGUUGUGUUCUACUGAGUUCUAAACUGCUCCUUAGCAGCUGCUUAUAAAGUUAAAUGCUCCCUGCCGGCUCCACGGCUCGCUAGGCUAAUCCUCCACCUUGCGGCGCCAGCACACCGGGUUCUAGUCCCAGUCGGGGCGCCGGAUUCUGUCCCGGUUGCCCCUCUUCCAGGCCAGCUCUCUGCUGUGGCCAGGGAGUGCAGUGGAGGAUGGCCCAAGUCCUUGGGCCCUGCACCCCAUUGGAGACCAGGAGAAGCACCUGGCUCCUGCCACCGGAUCAGCGUGGUGCACCGGCUGCGGCAGCCAUUGGAGGGUGAACCAACGGCAAAGAAAGACCUUUCUCUCUGUCUCUCUCUCUCACUGUCUACUCUGCCUGUCAAAAAAAAAAAAAAAAAAUGUUAAAUGCUCCCUGUGUAUACACUCAGAUGAUUCCCCUGGAUUCUCCCCAGACAAGAUUAAUUUCCAAGCCAGUGUCAUGGUAGGUAGGCAUGCCUUUAUUAAGAAAGUAAGUACUUCCUUUCUUUUCCCUCUCUUUAUUAAAAAUUUUUAGGGGCCAGCUUUGUGGCACUGUGGGUUGGGACACUGGCAUCCCAUAUGGGCUCUGGUUCGUGCGUGUUCCAGCUGCUCCACUUCCGAUCCAGCUCUCUGCUAUGGCCUGGGAAAGCAGUGGAAGAUGGCCCAAGUACUUGAGCCCCUGUCAUCCAUUUGGAAGACCUGGAAGAAGCUCCUGGCUCCUGGCUUCAGCGUGGCUCAGCCCUGGCUGCUGCAAACAUUUGAGGAGUGAACCAGUAGAGAGAAGAUCUCGAUCUCUCUCUCUCUCUCUCUCUCUCUCUCUCUCCCCUCUACUUUUCAAAGAAACAAAAAAAAUACAUCUUUUAGAAUUUAAAAAUUUAAUGAAUUUGAAAGGCAGAGCAAAAGAGAGAGGACAGGGAAAGACCUUCCAUCCGCUGGUUCACUCUCCAAAUGGCCGAAGCCAGGAGCCUGGAACUUCAUCGAGUCUCCCACAUGGGUAGUAGGGACCCAAGUACUUGAGCCAUUACCUACUACCUCCUAAGAUGUGCAUUAGGAGGAAGCUAGAGUAGGGAGCAGAUCCAAGACUGGAACCAGUCCAAUAUGGUAUGCAGGUAGUGUCUUAAACACUAGGGCAAACACCCACCCCACCUCCUUCUCUUUAAAUGACUUUAGAGUAUUUCUGCAAUCCUUUGUCCUGUUUCUAGGACACAAAGGUAAUAGCUUUCUGGGGUAAUGUGGGUGCGUUUUUGCUUUAUAAAGCUGCAGACCUGUCCUUGCAGCAAGCCCUCCCAGUCCUUAUGGUCCCAUGGCUAGGACCAAAGUGAUGCCAGCUUAGCCUGGAGUAAGCCAAGGGCAAAUGCCCGCAGAUCAUUCGGCUCCCACCACUAGAGUUUCAUAGUCAAAUGUUUUGGGCCCCCCCUGUUCUCAUUCUGCGGUUUUAAAACUUCUUUGUUGGUGAUGGUCAAUCUGUUUCUAGCCCCUUGUUUCCCUCUUCUCUCCAAGUGGUUGGUCCGUGGCCUCAGCUCUCAGUGACACCACAGGUGAAUGGAGGCAGACCUGACAGAAGUUCCCCUUGACUGCCCAUGGUUCUCACAGAGCUGCCCACAGGGACAGAAACUUACACACAUGCCUGGCCUGGGAAAGCAAGCCCCAAAGAUGCUUUGUUAAGAAACAAACAUAGGAGUGUGACCUGAACAGAAACCAGACUGCAGGCCAGAAAAUAACUUUAAUGCAAAGCGGAAAGGAUCAGUUCUUUUCCUUGCUCUUGCUCUCUCAACUCCACUUUCCUUUGACUCUGAGGAAGUAGAAGGAGCCGGCCAUGUUUCUAGAGUGGCUGUCCAUUUGGAAAAGUAUCUCCCCAGUGUGGAGGUGUGCUCGUGUCCUUUAGAUCUGAGCAGACUCAACACAAUCAGAUAACUUUAGUGUAGUCCAUCGCCUCUUCCAGUCCCAUCUUUUCACAGGCACAGGGCUGCUGCAUGAUCCUCGGGCUCAAGGGGACCCAAAAUCACUCUUAAAGAACCUGCAAAAAUAAAUACAUCAUGGGGAAGGGCACUGUGAUAAGACUCUAGGACACAGCAAAGAAUGAGACAUAGUUCCUGGACAAAUGAGCCCCCACACACCUGAAACCCAAAACAGAGGUGAGAUGCCAGGUGUUCGGAGCAGGUGAGAAACAUACGGCUGUAGGGUUUAAGGAGAAGAAAGUAAGCUGCUCAAAUAUAGAGGGCUGAAGAACACAUUCCUCCAGGGGCAGCAGUUAAACUAAGCCUUGCCAAGGAUGAAGCCGUGGGAAUAGGGAAGUGGCAAAGUGAUGGAAAAGGAGGAGGCCACAGCCUGGUCCCAAAAGUUCCGCCCCUUUGUUCUCUCUGAAGCCCUGGAGAAAGGAGACCCAGGAUUGGCGAGAGAGGGAAACAGAUGAGGUAGUACCAAACAGAUCAGACAUUAGAGCUUUUGGGAGCCAGUGUUGUGGUGCAGCAGGUUAAGUCACUGCCUGCAACAUCAGUAUCCCCUAUGGGCACCAGUUUUGUGCCCUCACUGCUCCAUAUCUGAUCCAGCUCUCUGCUAAUGUGCCUGGGGAAGCAGUGGAAGAUGGCCCAAGUGCUUGGGCUCCUGCUACCCACAGAGAGGACCAGGAUGGAGUUUCAGGCUCCUUACUUGGGCCUGGCACAGCCCUCACUGUUCUGGCCAUUUGGGGAGUGAACCAGCAGAUGUAAGAUUCUCUCUCUCUCUCUCUCUCUCUCUUUCUCUUUCUCUCUGUGUGUGUGUGUGUGUGUGUGUGUCUCCCUCUCUCUGUCUUUGCUUCUCUCUCUUUAACUCUGUCUUUCCAAUAAAAGAUAGGUCUUUAAAAAAAAAAAUGGGGAAUCUGGACUCAGGGGCGGAGCCCCUAGAGCUCGUGCCUAGGACAGCAGCAUGUGAAUCCUGAGGAGGCAAGAGGCAAACAGCCGUGGCUAAAGGCCUGGACUUGAGGCACAGUCCGGAUCCACCAUGGUUGAGGUCUAAGCACUCUGAGGUGGGAGGCACAGAGUUAUCAGAGUCUUCAUUCAUGUUGGGAGAGAUGAUCUAGGGCUUCAGAGCCAGCCAGCAACAGUCAGCAGUCCAGGGUCCUGGCCUCCAUGAGCUUGGAGGUCCCUAUGGGGUCCCUGAAUGUCAGGGUAGGGGGCCGCCCAGCUGAUAGACAAGGAAGCAAAAGGCUACAUCCUGAUUCAUCUUGGAUCAAGCCAGUGGAUGAGGGGUGUCCCAGACCAGGAUGCACAGCAAGGGACAAAAUGAGAGGUGGCUGGUCCCAUGCAGUUAGCUUGGACCAAAAAUUAUCUGUAAAAACUGUCUCUAGGGGGAAGAGAAUGGUGGGUACUUUCUGUAACCUGGACACACUCAAAUGAAGUUACAUUCAGAUAAAUGUAAAGAGAUACAGAAUCCAUGUUUGUAGAAAUCAAAGGGGGGCCACCAUUUGGCUUAACGGUUGAAACAUCCCUGUCCCACAUUAGUGUACCUGGAUUUGAUGGUCAGUUCUGCUCCUGACUCUAGUCUCCUAAUUCAGACCCUGGGCAGCAGUGGUGAUGGCUCUGUAAUUCUACCUCCCCCUCCCUGCCAUGUAGAAAACCUAGGUUGAGUUCUAGGCUCCUGGCUUCUGCCUGGUCUAGUCUCUGUCGUUGUGGGCAUUUGGGGAGUGAUCUAGUAGAUGGAAGUACUAUAAUCUCUGUCCCUCUGGUUCUCAAAUAAACAAACAAAAAUUUAAACAAUUUUUAAAAAUCAAAGGGAGAAAACACCACAGGGGAGUAUGCCUUGGUUGGGGUUAAGGAGCGAUCAGUUUUUUGUUUUUUGUUUUUUGUUUUUUUUUUUUUUUUACAGGCAGAGUGGACAGUGAGAGAGAGAGAGACAGAGAGAAAGGUCUUCCUGUGCCGUUGGUUCACCCUCCAAUGGCCGCCACGGCCGGCGCGCUGCAGCCGGCGCACCGCGCUGAUCCGAUGGCAGGAGCCAGGUGCUUCUCCUGGUCUCCCAUGCAGGUGCAGGGAACAAGGACCUGGGCCAUCCUCCACUGCCUUCCCGGGCCACAGCAGAGAGCUGGCCUGGAAGAGGAGCAACCGGGACAGAAUCCGGCGCUCCAACCGGGACUAGAACCUGGGGUGCCGGCGCCGCAGGUGGAGGAUUAGCCUAGUGAGCCAAGGCGAUCAGUUCUAUGAGGCAGUUAGCCCCCAGGCUAAGGAGGUCUGGGUGGGGAGUAGAGGCUUCAACUUUUCUUUUAAUUUUGUAGUUUUCAGCAUUUUUUAAAAGUUUAUUUAUUUUGGCUGGUGCCGCAGCUCAAUAGGCUAAUCCUCUGCCUAUAGCGCCAGCACACCAAGUUCUAGUCCCAGUUGGGGCGCCGGAUUCUGUCCUGGCUGCCCCUCUUCCAGGCCAGCUCUCUGCUGUGGCCCGGGAAGGCAGUGGAGGAUGGCCCAAGUGCUUGGGCCCUGCACCCCAAGGGAGACCAGGAUAAGUACCUGGCUCCUGCCAUCG